CUAGGCAAAAUGGUGCCGUAACUUCGGGAGAAGGCACGCUGUCGAUAGGUGAAACCCCUCGCGGGUGGGAGCUGAAGGCAGUCGAAGAUACCAGCUGGCUGCAACUGUUUAUUAAAAACACAGCACUGUGCAAACACGAAAGUGGACGUAUACGGUGUGACGCCUGCCCGGUGCCGGAAGGUUAAUUGAUGGGGUUAUCCGCAAGGAGAAGCUCUUGAUCGAAGCCCCGGUAAACGGCGGCCGUAACUAUAACGGUCCUAAGGUAGCGAAAUUCCUUGUCGGGUAAGUUCCGACCUGCACGAAUGGCGUAAUGAUGGCUAGGCUGUCUCCACCCGAGACUCAGUGAAAUUGAACUCGCUGUGAAGAUGCAGCGUACCCGCGGCAAGACGGAAAGACCCCGUGAACCUUUACUACAGCUUGACACUGAACAUUGAGCCUUGAUGUGUAGGAUAGGUGGGAGGCUUUGAAGCGUGGACGCCAGUCUGCGUGGAGCCAACCUUGAAAUACCACCCUUUAACGUUUGAUGUUCUAACCUAGCGCCGUAAUCCGGCGCGGGGACAGUGUCUGGUGGGUAGUUUGACUGGGGCGGUCUCCUCCUAAAGAGUAACGGAGGAGCACGAAGGUUAGCUAAUCACGGUCGGACAUCGUGAGGUUAGUGCAAUGGCAUAAGCUAGCUUGACUGCGAGAGUGACGGCUCAAGCAGGUGCGAAAGCAGGUCAUAGUGAUCCGGUGGUUCUGAAUGGAAGGGCCAUCGCUCAACG
rnacentral:rRNA from 1 species